AAAAGCAAUAUUCACUAUGAUCGGGCUCACAAUUCUGUCGAUUUUGCACUUACGGUUGUUCUUGAUCAUGCACAUAUACCUCAUAUUAACGCGGCUGGCGGUGCUGCUUGGUUGCCCUACUGUGUGUCUGUUAGGUUGAGAUAUGCAUUUGGUGAGAACCCAAAUGUUUUGUUUCUGGGAAUGGAGGGGAGCCAUGGUGGACGGGCUUGCUGGCUGAGAGUUGAUGAUUGGGAAAGAUGCAAACAAAGAGUAGCUCGAACUGUUGAAGUGAAUGGAAAUUCCGCUGGUGAUGCCAAUCAGGGAAGGUUAAGGGUUGUCGCAGACAGUGUUCAAAGAACACUGCAUGCGUACCUUCAGGGGCUGAGGGAUGGUGGUGGAGUUGCUGCAGGCAUUGGAUCGUGAAAUAGAGAGAUUUCAAUGAAGUAGA
rnacentral:misc_RNA from 1 species